UACGGGGGGGGCAAGCGUUGUUCGGAAUUACUGGGCGUAAAGGGCUCGUAGGCGGCCAACUAAGUCCGACGUGAAAUCCCCAGGCUUAACCUGGGAACUGCGUCGGAUACUGGAUGGCUUGAAUUCGGGAGAGGGAUGCAGAAUUCCAGGUGUAGCAGUGAAAUGCGUAGAGAUGUGGAGGAACACCGAUGGCGAAGGCAGCCCCCUGGGCUGAGAUUGACGCUCAGGCACGAAAGCGUGGGGAGCAAACAGGG
rnacentral:rRNA from 1 species